UGUAAAGUGGCUGAGGUUUAGGCGGUGGUUUGUAAGUCCACUCACAGGAUUAUAUCUUCUUUACAA
rnacentral:tRNA from 1 species